ACUGCACUUCAGCCUGGGCAACAAGAGCGAAACUCCGUCUUAAAAAAAUCAAGAAAAUGUUGGAACAAUUUAAUUCAGUAUUAACUUGUUUCUUACUCUUGGGGAAACAAGAACAGGAAAAAAAAUACAAACGGUGAUUAUAUUGUUUACAUAAUUAUAAAUAAUGCUUCCUACAAAUGCUUUACAAUGACAUUUAAUUAAUAAUUAUAAAGAUGACGCUAUAAACAUUGCACCGGACCAGCUAUUUGGCAAUGAUUACAGCAUGGUUCCUUGGGUAUCCAGAUAAAGCAGCUGUUAUUGAUGAUCAAAAAAUAUUUGCUCCAUUCCUGAGAUAGGAAGCAGCAUCUUCUCCCAAGAUAGGAAACAGUGUCUUGACAGCUUUUUAAGCUAGACAAGAAGACGGUGCAAAGUAAUAUAUGCAAAAAGUGUGGAGUCAAGUGUAUUGUAAAAUGAAGUGCAUAAAUGUGAACAACGGAGUUUCGCUCUUGUUGCCCAAGCUGGACUGCA
rnacentral:lncRNA from 1 species